rnacentral:lncRNA from 1 species
AUGCUGCUGGGAGCUCAGAGGGCCCGAGGCCCAAGCCCUGUGUCCUCCAGCAGAGCCACAGGCCCAGCCCUCAGGACAGACCCCGCCUCCACCCUUCUCUGCAUCUCCCGGCAGGGAUGGCGCACAGUGGUGCUGACAUGGCCACUGGGCGUCUGGGGCAGUGCUGGUCGCCUGGCCUCCUCGCUGGAACCGCUGGGCCUCCGGCCUAGGACAGGAGGCCAUCCACCUCAAGGACCCCUUCCGAGACCCUGCGCAGCCGACCUGGUCCCUGCCCCCACGUUACCUGAGAAUCCCCAGCUAGAUAUCCUUCUGGUCCAGCACACCCCAGACGUCCUCCUUGAGGUGUUGGGGACCAGAGGAGGUAAGCACAGCAGGCCCCGGCCCCGCCCUACCCAGCCUCUCGCCUGCCCGGCCCCAUCCUUCUGGGUGCUGCUCUGUGGGGACCUACCAGCAGCCUGGUGGCCUGGUGGUUCAGGGCCAUGUGCAUCUCAGCCAUGCUGUCGGGAGGAUGGUGGGGUCACGCCUGAGGAGGACCCACUGGGUGGGCCCCCAGCACCCCUCCCCCUCAGCCAGGCGGGCACUUCUGUGAUGACCAUCUUCUCAAAGCACAGGUGGAUCUGCUGCAGCUCGUUCUGAGGGUGGGGC